AACAAUGAUGUCGGGUAAUCAAUUUUUGCUAGUAUAUUUCUUAACACUUCUAUCAAUCAGAACUGUAACAUAAUUCGUACAUGCUAUUAUCUUAUUAUAUAAAUAGCCCUCAUCAGUAUUACGAUCAACGGUGUAUUAGCUAGUGAGUUUCUAAAUGAUAUGAUUAGGAUAUGAAGAAUAGUAUUGCAUUGUUAUAUCGUCAAAUAUAAAUUUUAAGAAUCUUGAUUUCAUAUGUUCAUUUGUUGAUAGUGGAUCUGCGCAGCAAGUAGCUUCAUAGUGGAAAGCAACAUUCGAAUCGAUCAAUGUUUUUACUCUAAAAACAUCGCGCACGUCAGUCUUUAAAUUCUAAUUAGUUUCGAUUUUAUGAACUUUUGUCCUCAUUUUCUAAAUAAUAUUUUGAUUUAUUAUAAAGAUUUGUACUCAUCGAAAAAAUUGAAUAAUCUAAUUUAUUCUAUGUUAAUGUUCUGAAAAUUACAUAUUACAUUAACAUGAAAAUGCGGAAAAUAUAUGAGAAAUUUUUUUUGCGUAUAAAUUUUUGUUAUAUUUUAAUUAUAUCCUAGUAGCAAUCUUGGUCAAGACAAGAAAAAAAUAGCACCAUACUAUAUAUCUAUGUACACUGUGUUAUUAUAGAUCUUGAUUAAAAUUGCCUCUAGGGUAAAGGAGGACGGAUGGGCCAGCAAAGACAAAAAUUUCAGUAGUCCAUAGAAAGAUGAAAAUUUUUAAUCUUGGACAAGAUGAGGCUUACUUGAAAAAAUUAAUGAAAGUUGAAGGUCUAUGAUGUCACCCACAAUCAUACCCCUAAAUAAAAAAGUCAUCACCCCAGGGGUUAAUGAGAGAAAAAAAUAAAAACACCUCCAACAACAGAUUUUUCGCAAAUAUUUCAUAAACAACAAAAAAUUCGUGAAAAACUUUUAAACCAAAGUUGUAGAGAAAAAAAAUCACAUCAAAAAGUAUUAUAAAUUUUUUUUGUAUCUAUAACAAAUAACACGCAAUAAAUUUUUGAAAUUUCGAAGCGUAAAUAUACUGAAUUUUUAGAAGGCUACGCCGCUGAAGUAGAAUAUUAUGUGUACGUAUAGCUGCACUGCUUACCCUAAGUCCUUUGACGUCGCUAGGGUUGCAU